rnacentral:lncRNA from 1 species
AAGGCUUGCAUCAGUGAGUUGAUGUUACCUGAUCUGAGGCAUAAGCUAAAUUUCUUUACUUUUUCAGUUUUUUUUGCAUGUUGAAGCCAUAUUGUGGAAUGAGGAGAUGUUGUUUUUGAAGACCUCCGGAGGAAUGGACGCAUAAGCAAUACAACACAAGCUUGGCUUACAUGUAGUUGCAGAACCAGUAAGGAAAGUAGACUUUUAGUGAAGAAGAGGGAUCUGUAACACUGGGAAGAUAAGAGAAGAGGGAUUGGGACUUACAUGAAGACCCCUAACAAUUUCUGAAGACUCAAAUUAAGCAUUGUAUCUUGACGAUCACCGAGCUGGACUAUCAGAGCA